rnacentral:rRNA from 1 species
UACAGAGGUCUCAAGCGUUGUUCGGAUUCACUGGGCGUAAAGGGCGCGUAGGCGGCCAGCACAAGUCAGUUGUGAAAUCUCCGGGCUUAACUCGGAAAGGUCAACUGAUACUGUGCGGCUAGAGUGCGGAAGGGGCAACUGGAAUUCUCGGUGUAGCGGUGAAAUGCGUAGAUAUCGAGAGGAACACCUGCGGCGAAGGCGGGUUGCUGGGCCGACACUGACGCUGAUGCGCGAAAGCCAGGGGAGCAAACGGG